rnacentral:rRNA from 1 species
GAUGAACGCUGGCGGCGUGCCUAAUACAUGCAAGUCGAGCGAACAGACGAGGAGCUUGCUCCUCUGACGUUAGCGGCGGACGGGUGAGUAGCACGUGGAUAACCUACCUAUAAGACUGGGAUAACUUCGGGAAACCGGAGCUAAUACCGGAUAAUAUAUUGAACCGCAUGGUUCAAUAGUGAAAGACGGUUUUGCUGUCACUUAUAGAUGGAUCCGCGCCGCAUUAGCUAGUUGGUAAGGUAACGGCUUACCAAGGCGACGAUGCGUAGCCGACCUGAGAGGGUGAUCGGCCACACUGGAACUGAGACACGGUCCAGACUCCUACGGGAGGCAGCAGUAGGGAAUCUUCCGCAAUGGGCGAAAGCCUGACGGAGCAACGCCGCGUGAGUGAUGAAGGUCUUCGGAUCGUAAAACUCUGUUAUUGGGGAAGAACAAAUGUGUAAGUAACUAUGCACGUCUUGACGGUACCUAAUCAGAAAGCCACGGCUAACUACGUG